rnacentral:tRNA from 1 species
GGGAGGGUAGUUCAGUGGUAGAGCACUUGCCUUGCAUGCAUGAGGCCCUGGGUUCGAUUCCUCAGCACCA